CAACCCUUAACUCAAUCCAGCUUGCACUACUAUGCAAUACCUCAAAAGUCCAAGAGUGUGGUUACGCUAAAGUUCUGCAACCUCUUAUCUAUGAUCUAAAGUCAUUGGAGCAAAAUGGUGUUUACUUGGAACAACUAUGCUGAUGGACCUCUUUAGGAAGAAGAAAGGCCUGACCGGCCAGCUUUUGGCUGAGCUUUUACGUCAGACAAAGACCACUGAGCCAACAGACAUCAGUUGUUUAUGUCUUAGGGGACUGCCUGUCACCUUGGAGGAUGAUUCUUCUGCCUUCUUCAAGACAAGUUAAUAAUUUUUUUUGUAAAUGUUGCAGGUGCAUGCUCAUUUGUCUCAUUUUUAGAAUGUUUUUGGGUCUUUAACUCAAA